rnacentral:tRNA from 1 species
CAUAGCGUAAUGGAUAGCGCAUCGGCCUCCGGAGCCGAACGUGCGGGUUCGAAUCCCGCUGAGG